GCUGCGGUGGUUCAGUGGUAGAAUUCUUGCCUUUCAUGUGGUAGACCUGGGUUCAAUUCCUGGCCAAUGCA
rnacentral:tRNA from 1 species